GACGAACGCUGGCGGCGUGCUUAACACAUGCAAGUCGAACGGUGAAGCUCGAGCUUGCUGGAGUGGAUCAGUGGCGAACGGGUGAGUAACACGUGAGCAACCUGCCCCUGACUCUGGAAUAAGCGCUGGAAACGGCGUCUAAUACUGGAUACGAGAAGGGUCCGCAUGGGCACCUUCUGGAAAGUUUUUCGGUUGGGGAUGGGCUCGCGGCCUAUCAGCUUGUUGGUGAGGUAAUGGCUCACCAAGGCGACGACGGGUAGCCGGCCUGAGAGGGCGACCGGCCACACUGGGACUGAGACACGGCCCAGACUCCUACGGGAGGCAGCAGUGGGGAAUAUUGCACAAUGGGCGAAAGCCUGAUGCAGCGACGCCGCGUGAGGGAUGACGGCCUUCGGGUUGUAAACCUCUUUCAGCAGGGAAGAAGCGAAAGUGACGGUACCUGCAGAAGAAGCACCGGCUAACUACGUG
rnacentral:rRNA from 1 species